AACGAACGCUGGCGGCAGGCCUAACACAUGCAAGUCGAGCGGAUGAGGGGAGCUUGCUCCUCGAUUCAGCGGCGGACGGGUGAGUAAUGCCUAGGAAUCUGCCUAGUAGUGGGGGACAACGUUUCGAAAGGAACGCUAAUACCGCAUACGUCCUACGGGAGAAAGCAGGGGAUCUUCGGACCUUGCGCUAAUAGAUGAGCCUAAGUCGGAUUAGCUAGUUGGUGGGGUAAAGGCCUACCAAGGCGACGAUCUGUAGCGGGUCUGAGAGGAUGAGCCGCCACACUGGGACUGAGACACGGCCCAGACUCCUACGGGAGGUAGCAGUGGGGAAUCUUGCGCAAUGGACGAAAGUCUGACGCAGCGACGCCGCGUGGGUGACGAAGGCCUUCGGGUUGUAAAGCCCUGUGGGGUGAGACGAACAGCUGGGGUUCAAAUAGGGCCUUGGUCUGACGGUAUCACCUUAGCAAGCACCGGCUAACUCUGUGCCAGCAGCCGCCGUAAUAC
rnacentral:rRNA from 1 species